rnacentral:rRNA from 1 species
AUGACUAGGGAUAAUCUUAGGAAGAGACAGGUUAUCAAACCUCUCGGCUGUGUUUAUGGCACUGAGGCAGAAACAAACGCGCACUUAUUCUUUGAAUGUGUGGUAGCUAAACAAGUCUGGCCCCUUGUCUCUGCCUUCUUCGAGACAAAUGUGGGGUUUGAUUAUGAAUCGAUUGCUAAAUUCUGGGUAGCUAAUGGCAAGCACUCUGCCCUUAAUACAGUUAAUGCAGCUAUGCUUUGUUGUCUUUGGAAAAAUAGGAACUCUAUUAUUUUCAAUAACACUUUGUGGAUCUCGAUUAAACAGGUAACGAGACUGAUCCUCAGGACAAUCAAAAACUGGACAAUCCUGUCCUCAGGCAAGAAUGCAGAGAGGCUGGAGGCCUUCUCAAGGCAUCUUCGAGCUUCUUACGCCGCCCCCUGUUGA